UUUAUGACUUGGGCUGGCUCAGGAAUUCUGGGAGUUGAAGUCCACAAGUCAUAAAAGAGCCAAGGUUCCCCACCUCUGGUCUAAAUGGUCCUUGAUUUAGGAACUCACCUGAGUCCAAAAUUGCUGCUGCUGCUGUUAAACAAGCUGAUGGUUGAGUUUUGCCUCGUUUUACCAUCUUUUUUGCUACAGUUAAGCAACUUGCUGCAGUUGUUAAAGGGAUCGUGCAGUCAUUAAGCGAAACUGGCUUCCCCCAUUGACUGCUUGCUGGACGCCAGCUAGGAAGGUUGGCAAAUGAUAACCGCGUAACCCUGGAAGAGUGCAACUGGCAUAAAUACACGCCAGUUGCCAAGCAUCUGAAUUUUGAUCACGUGACCACGCGGAUUCUGCAACGAUCGUUAAGCGUGAAAACCAGUCAUCAAGACCCUCCAAUCUUCAACCAUCGGUUACAGAGAGUCCUCGACUUACGACGGCAAUUGAGCCCAAAUUUUCCAUUGCUAAGCAAGGCGGCUGUAAAAUUUGCUAUUGAUCGUGACAGCGGUUCAACAAAGGAAGGGCGCCGCUUUGCUUGAUGAAGACAAUCCCCUUUCCCCCGCAACAUCGGAGCAAUUUUCAGCGCUAUAUUAAGGACAGGAAUGAAAACAAACUGCCUCCUAAAGUUCAUGAAGAAUUGCUAUCCAGCCCCCAUUGUUUUGGGCUCAUAACCAGCGGGGCUGGCUGGGCGGGCUGCUGGUAGUGGUCCAAAAAGUCAAGAUGGCAGCCGGGGCAGGACGCCGAAAGCUCAGCUGGUGUUUUUUUACAGUGUGUCAUGUGCAUGGCUCACAAACUUUUGGGACCUUUUGACUUUUGAUCUGUCCCUUCCCCAAAUUUGGAGCAUUUGAUUCCUGUGGUACACAACACACCCGUGUGCAUUCACACACAUGCACUCACACAAACAUAGGUAUACAUGCCGUUCUCCAGAUGUGGAAGACGCUAGGUCUUAUAAUCCCCUGCCCAUGUGGUUAAGGAUAAGCCUAAUGAAAUUGUCAUCUGGAUUCUCCAGGAAAUGUAGUUUUCUGCUGGAAUGGAUUUCCCUAUCUGAUUUUUAUGGCUCCCGUUUAAUUUUUAUCCAGCCUGUUAUACUUUUAUAGUCCGUUGUCAGAACAAAUGGCAAGGUAUUUAAUAAUAGAGAUGAUUAGAAUUCUCACCGUUAUUUAUGUCACAGGAGCAGAAGUUUGAUCAAUGAUUCCAGUGCAAGAAAAGUGAACAAUGCAAAAUGAAACAUACAUCACAUGUGGGCUGCACUGGGGCAAAAUAAAGAAAUGGAAACUGCAAAUUUAAGCGAGGAGAUUUAUGUAUUUAUAGCUUUGCUGCUUCACAAACAGCACUCAAGGGCAAUACAAAUAGCCUGGAGUUGACUAACACACACUGCAAUCUCUCUCUCUGUCUCUCUCUGUCUCUCUCUCUCUCUCUCUCCACAACAACAGCCAUAUUUCAAGGGCAACUUUUAGGAAGAGAAUUGCAUUU